UCGAACCCACAACCUUUCAGUUAUAGGAUGACACUCCAACCAAGCCACACCCACCAGGGCUGUGCUAUUUUUAUUAACUUUACUUCUGACCCUUGUUAUUAGGUGUUCAAUUAUCCUGUGAACUGUUUGUUGAAAUAUGAGUCUGAAAAUUAAGACUUAGCAUUUCUUUGGAAAAUGCCGCAUUUCUGAGAACUCUGAUGAGGAGCGCUGGCCUUCUGUGUGUCCUGGAUCUUAGAGGAGCUGGCUGGCGGUGUGCCUCCCCACUGCUCUUCCUCGAGGGGCAGAGGGUGCUCAGAAAAGAGCAGUCAGCCUCAGUCACCUGUGGCAGUGAAACCAAGCCCUGGGGCUUUGCUGCUGGUUUCCUCCUGCCACUGGUGAGCCACCUGCUGGGCUGGCCCGCCCCCAGUGCUGGUUAGAAAUGGGUGGGUUUUUGUUUCAUUUGUUUUGGUGCUGCUUAAACACACCCUGUUCCUUGUGUCCAUCAUUCUCUUUACUGAAGACUUUCUAAACAGAGUCAUUUCAGAACUUGUUUUAGAAAAGAUUUUGUUCUUACCUAAAAUAUAAGGGUUUGAGUUAGCUAAUGCAAGAGCAACUAACAAUUAGCUGAGUUUAGGAUGUUAGAGAAUGAAACUGUCGGCAGCCCACCUUUUAAUCAUCUGUGUAAACCAGUUGGGAGUUGUUUCCAGGUCUUCGCAGCGAAGGCAAAGUGAGUGGUGCAUUUUUUGAACUGGUGUAGUGGCUGGACUUGGUGAAACCCUGCUUUACAAUCAGAACAUGGAACACAGGGGUGCAGCCUGGAGCGGCAUUUGUUUUCACGGGAGGGAGACUCUCGCUGAAGUCCUGGCCGAGCAGGCCUACAGGGAGGACUGCUUUGCCACUCGGUCAGCCCACAGACAAUAAGCUGGUUUGACCUGCAGCCACCUCCCCGGCAUCAUCUGCCCUUGAAUGGCCGACUUCAUGGUCCUUAGGCUGGGCGUUUCCAGAAUUAUCUCGGGGUCACUUUGUGUGAGAUGACGAAUGUCAGACUUCCACAAAAACCAAUUAGCUAAUGGGUGUCUAGCUUCAGUCUAGAACAGAUUACCCGCCACUGCCAUUCUCACCGUCUACAGUAUUAACUGUGACUGCUUCUUGGAAGUCACCAUCGAAGCCAGGAAUAUUUACCCACUAGUCCGAAAAAUGAAUCAGAUUCCAGGCAGUCAACUUGAAGUACAUCUGCAGACGCAGCAUUUUCUUUCCAUUUUCAGGCUCCCUGGAAACUAGUGUGCAUAAACUGUGGGUCCUAUUGCCAUUCCGUCUGUUGCAGAGAAAAGGGAGCGCUGACAAUGGAGGCAGCUGAGUGAAGGGAACGUGCAAGUUCAUCGCCGUGAAGCAUGUUUUUCGAUGUUCAGGUGCAUGUAGCUCUCAGCUGAGAGCUGUGCUCAGUAUUGCAAAAGGCAUAUUGAAACUUAAUUUGUGUUAGUUUUAGCAACUGUAUUUGAAGGCAGGCAUUUGCAUGCUUUAAAAAAUGCCAGGGGUAAAGAGUCAGAAAUUUUGCAAUAUUAAUUUGCCUCCUGAGAGAAUGAAACUGUUCACCGUGGCUCCCCAGCCAUUCUAAAUUGAAAUGGCUGAGAGCCUUCAAAGAAGGGAAAAAUCUGUCGGUUGUGAUAGGGUUUCUGACGUCAUUGUGGAUGUUGUGAUUAACUGUCAAGCGCUUUCAGCUGCUGAAUCCAAUGUCCAGCCUAACGUGGUAUUUUUGAGAUAUUUAAAAAACUGUGUUAGGUGAUUAGUGUUUUAUUUCAAUUCACCAACCAACCAUAGACAAUUGCUCUUCCUGUGGUUUCCAGGCUGCUCAGAGAGGCAGCUGGCUUUCAUUUCCACACCAGAGGUGAAGCAACACUGAUACAUUUUACUAACUAUCAGCUCUUUUUAAUGUUAAUACUGUGCUAGACAUACUCGGCGUUUAGUUUAUUAUCAUUGUACUGUAGGCUUUAUUGACAACAGCAGAACUCUUCUACUUGGAAGCAUACUGUCUUACCAGGAGACCUCUGUGUUUCUAAACUUUGGUUCCUUGUUUGGUGGGUACUAAUGAUCUCCGGUGGUCGAGAUGCCUACCAUCCUGAGACGGAAAGCGCUUCCCCUGGGACUUGGGAGCUCACUGAAGCUCCUUUAAAUGCCAGCGUCUCUCCCGCCUGUUAACUUGUCCAUCCCCUUUCUAUCUUAUGAAAAACUCACUGCAGAUUAUAUGAUCCUAUAAUAGAAA